AUAGUGAUAAUCAGGAUGGCCCAUUUCAAAUAGUUGACAAGAAGGUGUGAGUAACAGUAGGGGGGAAAUUCCUCUGCUCUGGUGCAAGUGUGCCUGGGAUCCCUUGUUCAUCUCUUGGGGGUUCUGUGAUUCCAAAGGGACAGGAUCAUGGCUUGAGGGGUCCCCUUUAGAAAGAGGGAGCUGUAUCCAGGAUCUGGAGAUUUUGAUCUGUGGCUCUUUUAUCAUUGCAAGGACAAUAAUGACACUAGGACUUGUUCUAUUCAGCUAACAUUCUCCGGGCGGAUCCUUGGAGGGAUCCUGAGCCCUUCAUCCUCUGCGAGGAACUCCCAGAGCACUCACUGCAGCCUGUAGUGAGGUUGGAGAGGGAAAGACUUGGGAUUGUUGCACUGGGCGGGGUGUCCCCGACCCUACCCUUCUCCCAGUGUAAUGUAACAUUUUAGCUGUGAUAGAGGAAAGGGCACAUUCAUUCCAGGCAGGGCCUUCAAAGGGCAUGUCUGACCGGCUGCCCGCGAUCUCCUGCACCAGCACUACCUGUUUCUCCCAGCAGCCUCUGGUGCUGGCUGAAGAAGCUGCACGUUUGUUUCCUAAGGAGAAGCUGAUGCUCUUUUCUAAUACGCUGUCUCUUCCUGCUGCAGCUCACGCUCUUGCUAACCCUGGAGGACAAGCUGCACCGACAGUUAAGCUACGACCUGCUGCCAACUGACAGUUCCAAGGGCUUGGCCUCAGAGCUGGUGCACUACGGAUUCAUCCAUGAGGAUGACUGUGAAAUGCUGGCCAACUUCCUAGAAAAUGCUUUUCACAAGCACCGGUCUCCUCCCUUGUGAGUCACCCCGAUGAGUUCUGGGCAGAGAGGUGCCCCCCAAAGGAGGAUGGGAACUGUCCCAGGCCAGAAGGAACUGUGGGGCUCUUGAUCAGGCUUUCCGCUGCAGAGGUGACCUUGCCAUUUGUUCCUGGCUGUAUCUCUACUGUCCAUCCAGCCUGUGAUUCAGAAAGAAAAUGGCAAGAAGAGA